rnacentral:rRNA from 1 species
AUGAAAUGUAUGCCGCGUUUAACGCAAUGAGAUACAACUUCAGCAACGGGAUCUCUGGCUCUCGCAUCGAUGAAGAACGCAGCGAAAAUGCGAUAAGUAAUGUGAAUUGCAGAAUUCAGNGAAUCAUCGAAUCUUUGAACGCACCUUGCGCCCUUUGGCUAUUCCGAAGGGCAUGCCUGUUUGAGUAUCAUGAACACCUCAACUCUCAUGGCUUGCCAUGAUGAGCUUGGACUUUGGAGGUCUUGCUGGCCUAUGGGUCAGCUCCUCUCAAACGAAUUAGCUUGCCGGUGUUUGGUGGCAUCACAUGUGUGAUAACUAUCUACGCUUGUGGUUUUCCACCAGGUAACCCCCAGCAAUGGAGGUUCACUGGAGCUCAUAAACGUCUCUCCUCAGUGGGGACAGAUUUUGACCAUUUGAUCUCAAAUCAGGUAGGACUACCCGCUGAACUUAAGCAUAUCAAUAAGCGGAGGAAAUCACUAGUGAA